rnacentral:rRNA from 1 species
UACGUAGGGGGCAAGCGUUGUUCGGAAUUACUGGGCGUAAAGGGCUCGUAGGCGGCCAACUAAGUCGGACGUGAAAUCCCUCGGCUUAACCGGGGAACUGCGUCCGAUACUGGAUGGCUGGAGGUUGGGAGAGGGAUGCGGAAUUCCAGGUGUAGCGGUGAAAUGCGUAGAUAUCUGGAGGAACACCGGUGGCGAAGGCGGCAUCCUGGACCAAUUCUGACGCUGAGGAGCGAAAGCCAGGGGAGCAAACGGG